rnacentral:lncRNA from 1 species
CCUAAACCACACAGAGAGAUGGAGGUGUGAAGAAAGCGCCAAAACAUUGCCUGAAUCAUAUGCCAUGAAUGAAGAAAAUGCACCACACAGGUAACUUUGCCUAUAUACUACCCUUCCUCAAAAAAAUUGGAAACAGUAAUAGAGAAUAUUGAACAUUUUACAGCAGAAAGAAUUGAAAUACUUGGCUAAUCGAAGGGAUGUCCUUUACAAUAAGACCAACCUUAGACAAUCCUCCUUGCAUCUGAGAGCUGUUUUUGAAGGAAUGAUUCGCAAUCUCCACAGAAGAGAGAAAAACGAAUAUUAAAGGCAUUUUCAAAUGCCACAAUUGCAGCUUCAAAAGAAGAAUUAAACUACAUCAGGCAACCACAAUCACAUAAUUUAUCAUACCCGGCAAUUCACACCAUUCUUGUCCUAUUACCUUUCAGCCAUCAAUCUAUUCUCAGAAGAAAAAAAAGAUGUUUGAAAGUCACAUUUGUUUAUGGACCUUCUACCACCUCUUAUCAGGACUCCACCACAUGAAGUUGAUAUUCCAAAAAGUAGUCCACAGGAUUACAGAAUU